CUGACACACACACACACAAACAACGCAGCAAAAAAUUAUAAUGGAAUUGCUGUGCAGCGACCAAUCUAUCACUUCUCCUGUUCAAAAGGUUUAUCCAUUCAAUUCACCACCAGCCAUUGCCCGCAGUUUAUAUGAGCAGGUGGACUCAACUGACUGGUAAAAGUGGCAGAAUCAACUCUCCAUCAUAAUCCAGCCAAACCAAUUCCCAGAGAU